GCGAUAUAGCUCAGAGGUAGAGCAUGUGCUUAGCAUGCUCAUGGCCUUGGGUUCAAUCCUCAGUAUGAA
rnacentral:tRNA from 1 species